rnacentral:rRNA from 1 species
AAAACCAUGGGAUGAGCUGUGGAUAGCGGAGAAAUUCCAAUCGAACUCGGAGAUAGCUGGUUCUCCUCGAAAUAGCUUUAGGGCUAGCGUCGUGUAAUUGAGUAAUGGAGGUAGAGCACUGAAUGGGCUAGGGGCUAUAGUAGUUACCGAACCCUAUCAAACUCCGAAUGCCAUAUACUUGUAUCACGGCAGUCAGACUGCGAAUGAUAAGAUCCGUAGUCAAAGGGAAACAGCCCAGACCAUCAGCUAAGGUCCCAAAGUGUAAGUUAAGUGGAAAAGGAUGUGGGAUUUUCUAAGACAACUAGGAUGUUGGCUUAGAAGCAGCCACUCAUUUAAAGAGUGCGUAAUAGCUCACUAGUCAAGAGAUCCUGCGCCGAAGAUGUCCGGGGCUCAAACUUACCACCGAAGCUAUGGGUGUACACUAUGUGUACGCGGUAGAGGAGCUUUCUGUAUGGGUUGAAGUCGUACCGUAAGGAGCGGUGGACUGUACAGAAGUGAGAAUGCUGGCAUAAGUAGCGAGAAAUAAGUGAGAAUCUUAUUGGCCGAAAACCUAAGGUU